rnacentral:lncRNA from 1 species
AUGCCUGGCAGCGACUUCUCGCUUCUCCUUCCUCCUACCCCAUCGACCCUCUGCUGCCGACCUUUACGCCAAACUCCGGCGCGCCGCGAGACUCGCGUCCUCCCUGUCCCCGAGGGGCCCCACCCCUUCCCGGUUCUAACCUGCGACCUGGCCAGAGGCAAGGUGAAUGGGAAGAUGGAGAUGGAUGUUGAGGGAGUUUCUCCGCGCCCGGAGCCCAUCCCCCGCUCCCAGGGGGCUGGCGGAGCCUGCCAGGCGCCGCCACAGCCGCCCCAGCCCCAGCCGCCGCCGCAGCAGCUGGCUCAGGAUGAACUGCCCGGCGAGAGUGCAGGCGCUGAGGACAGCGACGAUCCCGAGACGAGACCCAACGGCGAGAAAGGAGAGAGCAAGUAUUUCAGUGACAUCAUCCACUCAGGAGAGUUGGGGCGAGGCUGGCUGAGGUUCUCAAGGAGCUGA